CAUUAAAAAUGAUAUUAAUGUCGCAUUGAUACCGCACCAUAUAACAUUAGUUUUGAAAAAUUCACUACUGGAGUAAAACUACUGCGUGAAUUUACUUCUCGUAUUGUGUUAAAUAUAUAUUUCGUAACGACACUAAACACUGUAUGUGACGCGUGACCUUUGGUCGAGUGACGUAUAACGCGCUAUCAUAACACGCUAUGUCUAUAAGGCCGUGGCCUUGUUGUCAUUCGCAUGACAAGGCUUGAGUGAGAAGGUAGCAGUGUGAUGUGUCGUCGUAUCUCUCGACAUAUAUAAUCGUGAUUCUUAUUACGAGUAGAUUAUCAGCUCGAUUAAUUUUCGCUGUUAACGAAUAAACAUAUCGGAAGUGACAGCUAUAUAAUAUAUUCAUAUUAACAUAAUUUUGACUUGCGCAAUCGAUAUAUUUUCAAUAGGAACUGAGGUUAAGUAAUAGAAAAUCGAAAUUAUGAAUAGUUUUAUUGCAAUAUUCGCAGGCGAUUACUAUUUUUACAAAUAUAUUUGGAAUAUAUUUUAUCUCGCAUUGUGAAUUUUUUGUCCAUUUAUAACACGUGAUAGCAAAAUUAUUUUAAAACGCUAGCGCAUUUGUUAACAAUAGAAAUAGCAUUCACGGUGAAUGAUACGCGAAUUUAAUUGACGAACUCAACGAUGGUUGAGUGAAUCGUCGAAAUGUAAUAAAGUGCAAUAUAAAAUCGCGAGCGAUAAUAUCGGGAGUGCCGUGCAAAGUUCGCGCGAUUAUUGUAUUCUGUAUUUUUGAUUACUGCACGCGUGUUUUCGCGAGUGAGUGUUAAUUAAGAACAACAAAGGAUGAAGUGAAUCAGAGAGGAAGAGAAAUCCUGGAUUGAUAACGGGACAAUUAUAGAGGUACUUAGGUAAGAAUUUCAAUUAGUGGACGAGAGAGAUGGAGAGGAAGGGACACGAUCGAAGACUAAGACAAUUAACGGAGAGUUCGCCGAACACAGGGUCGCACUUCCGGGUUUUAACGAAUCAACUGCAGAUUAAUCGAAUUCGCGAUUUUCUUUAUACGCGAACUUUCUUCCUCUCGAUUGAGUGUCAAACGAGUAGCCGCAUUAACACAUAAUUGAACCAUCAUUGAUUCCUCUAACUAAGCAUUCAUCGAGAUAUGCCGAGAGUUCAUACGCUUCUUACUAAAUGAUAAGUCAUUUCGAUGAGCGGCAAGAAUAAAGAAGAUGCAGAGGAAAGUUUUUCGGCGAAAAUGGGGAAAUUUGCUGGCUGAUGAAGCGAGCGGAGGAAAGUUUAUGAGCCCCUCCAGAUGAGCGGCUAAUUUUUAAACAAAGCCUAAUUUCCGCAACUUCAUAACAUAGUCGCGGUCGUUAUUACUUGCCGGGAUAAUAAAUGAUUAUUACGCCAUCGCGAAGAAAGGGCAGGAUGGAGAUGCGAGGGUGAGACGAAGGUGGGUAAAACGCUUUGAUGUAUUCUCGCUCGGGUGGAGGCAAGCCGAGCGACAAACUCUUCGAUAUUCGGACGAUGAAGAGCACUUUCUCGUCGUGGGGGGAGAUCGGGAGGCGCGGAUGCUUAGAGCCCUUCCCUCCCCAUCCACCCUCUAACAGCUGAUUACCCCUUCCGCGAUCCUUCGUGGCAAAUAUUUCGAAGUGUACGUUGUCAGAUUGCACUUUCAUUGUGCUCCCGCUGUCUUUAUAAUCUCGAUGUUUCCUUGCGUUCUCAAAAUACACGGCUCUGUCCCUCCCUCUCAAUCUCUUUCUCUCUUUCUCACCCUUUUCCUCGCCGACAGGUCGUCAAUGAAAUAGCUGCGAGCGGUGCUGCGAGACACGUGAAAUUGAUGGAAGUAUGCGCGCUGCACGCAUUCCGCUCGGGUUUGCCAUCGAGCGGAGCGGAGCGGAUUCGCGCGAGCACCUACGACGACGAUUCCCCUGUGCUCUCUGUUCUUUAUUAAUGAAGGUACAUUCCCGGCGAGAUUCGCGUCCCUGUUCGCGGCUGGAUGCGCGAAUCGCGCGCGGACGAAGAGACGAGGAAUCUCGCGCGCGGAAAUCAACUCGUUCGCGGGAAUGAAUGAAAAACAGAUGGGCACGAGCAGAACCGAAAAUCCAUCUCUCGCUCUCGCCUUUUGAUCCUGAACGGGGGCGAGAUCAGGCGAGGCCGCCAUACGCAUUUUAAUGUCGACGGCUUUGAAUACAUCCAAUUACGAAGUGUGUUGCGGUCUCGCGAGUUAUUCGCGUCAGCCAGAAUCUGCAUCGAUCACGUCGCAGCAAGCCGCUAACAAAAGUCGAACGCCGACCAAGUAUUUUGUCAAGAGUCUGACGCGCGCAUUCGCGUUUAUUUCCUCUUACGUUUUAAUACGAAUAAUUAAAGACAAGGAUCCUACGAGCGAAAAAUCUUAACUGAAUUUUUUUCUUCGAUCGAAACAAGAUAAAAUUAGACAAUUAAGAUACAUUGCAUCCAGUUAGGAGAGAUUAAGAACUAGGUAAUUUAUUAUCUAAAACGCAACAUUUUCUCUGUUUAGGCGGAGGUUGAUGCAUUCACUUCUCUCACUUAACUUCGAAGGUGAAGGGUCAAAAUUUCACGGCGAAGGAGUCGACACUUUAUCUUCCUGGGACAAACUGGAGGGAAAGAGAUGAGAACCAAAGAGAGAAAGAAAGAGAGAGAGAGGGUGCAGUUUCGGCCUUCGGGCCCCGCGGAGACCCGCUGCGCAAAGAUGUACGGAUAAGGGGAUAUAAAUGGGCCCUGGCCGCAGUCCGAGGGCAAAUAUAGACCAGGAUAGGACAUCAAGAGGAAAGGAUUCCCGAUGGGCCGAACGGGACCGAAUAGCACCGGUAUGGAAAUGCGAUCGGCCUUUAAACGUCGAACCGCGCACAGCUAUGUUAAUUCCCGCGCGUGUUAGCCAAGGUGUAACUUCUGUUUAUCUUCGUAUCGGUCUCCGGCCAGAUUUAACGAAUACGGACAGACCACCUUCAAGAAACGAGAAAAUCCGCAUCGUUCACGAUAUCCUGAAAUUAUGUGUAAAAUAUUGCACGAAAUUUCGAAAUACCUCGGACUCGCGUGUAAUGCGUGAAAAAUGUGACCUCGUUCGAUUCUUGCAUCCGGAUCUUCACGCGCGUGCUCAUUCAUUGUUGCAGGCUCGGCGCAUCUCGUCUACCGAUCAGAUCCGACGUGAUGGAUUCACUUCGCGUGGAAUGGAAACGCGAGUGACGGCUACGAGCGGCAACUAAGAACGGAAAA
rnacentral:misc_RNA from 1 species